UAUAAAUUGGCAGAUGCGCACGCGCCACACGCUUUCGGCAAUUUGAGUGCACGCUGACUCAGUUUCUGAGCCUACGAGGCUCUGCCGCCGGGCUUCCCGAGUGCCCGGCGGCAGAGUCCAGUGGUAGCACCGCCGGAGCCCGCAGCGCCACUGCCCCCGCUCCCCGCGAGCCGCACGCAGUCACAGCGCCCUGCUAUGACCACUGUUGUUGAGUGUACCAACAAAUUACGAUGGUUGGACGAAACAAUAGUCCUAUAUCAAAUUCAGCAACAUCCUUUACUCAAGUUUAUUAUAUAAGAUUGAAAUCCAAAAGGACAUAGAGUUAAAAUAGAUAGUAGAUUAUGUUAUA